rnacentral:rRNA from 1 species
GACGAACGCUGGCGGCGUGCUUAACACAUGCAAGUCGAGCGGAGCGGCGAACGGGUGAGUAACGCGUGAGUAACUGCCCCCCUCUCUGGGAUAACAGCUGGAAACGGCUGCUAAUACCGGAUAGUGGGGGGUGACUCGCGUCCUAUCAGCUUGUUGGUGGGGUAGUGGCCUACCAAGGCGACGACGGGUAGCCGGCCUGAGAGGGCGACCGGCCACAUUGGGCGGAGAUACGAGCCAAACUCCUACGGGAGGCAGCAGUGGGGAAUAGUGCGGUAUGGGGGGAACCCUGAUGCAGCAACGCCGCGUGCGGGGUGACGGGCUGCGGGUUGUAAACCGCUUUCAGCCAUGACGCGGUAGUGUCAGAAGAAGCACCGGCUAACUACGUGCCAGCAGCCGCGGUAAUAC